rnacentral:rRNA from 1 species
UACGUAGGGGGCAAGCGUUGUCCGGAUUUAUUGGGCGUAAAGCGCGUGUAGGCGGCCAUGUAGGUCUGACGUGAAAUCCCGAGGCUCAGCCUCGGCAGGUCGUUGGAAACCAUAUGGCUAGAGUCCGGAAGAGGAGAGUGGAAUUCCUGGUGUAGCGGUGAAAUGCGCAGAUAUCAGGAAGAACACCGAUGGCGAAGGCAGCUCUCUGGGACGGUACUGACGCUGAGACGCGAAAGCGUGGGGAGCGAACAGG